GACGAACGCUGGCGGCGUGCCUAAUACAUGCAAGUAGAACGCUGAAGGAGGAGCUUGCUUCUCCGGAUGAGUUGCGAACGGGUGAGUAACGCGUAGGUAACCUGCCUGGUAGCGGGGGAUAACUAUUGGAAACGAUAGCUAAUACCGCAUAACAGUAGAUGUUGCAUGACAUUUGCUUAAAAGGUGCACUUGCAUCACUACCAGAUGGACCUGCGUUGUAUUAGCUAGUUGGUGAGGUAACGGCUCACCAAGGCGACGAUACAUAGCCGACCUGAGAGGGUGAUCGGCCACACUGGGACUGAGACACGGCCCAGACUCCUACGGGAGGCAGCAGUAGGGAAUCUUCGGCAAUGGACGGAAGUCUGACCGAGCAACGCCGCGUGAGUGAAGAAGGUUGUCGGAUCGUAAAGCUCUGUUGUAAGAGAAGAACGAGUGUGAGAGUGGAAAGUUCACACUGUGACGGUAUCUUACCAGAAAGGGACGGCUAACUACGUG
rnacentral:rRNA from 1 species